rnacentral:sRNA from 1 species
AACAAAGAGGUGAAUGAGCAGAAUGGGUCAUGUACACCCCACUGAUGUGUGCUGAUGUGACAAAGAGAGAAGGCAGGUAGAAGAGCUAUCUGAACGUUGCUAACAGAGGGCCUGGGGAGGAGGGACGGGCACGACCGCAUCUGCUCCUCUGUCCUGUGUGCGUGCUUGGCCACCUGAUGCCAACUCCAUGAUGGCACAUUUGUCUUAUUAAGUGGGUUGGCUUCCUGGUCUGAACCCUCCAUAAGCCCUGGCUGGGAAUUUUCCUCACUGUGACCUUGUGAGCAGUCCCUGGUUACCCCCAAGGAUUGUGCCAAGCAGGCUCUGGGUUAACAUCUUGGAGAGUACAGAGUAGGCUGAUAAUCAGCCUAUGCUCAACAGCACGCCCAAGAGGUGAGGAUUUCUGAUGGCAUCCCUGGGGUGCUCAGCAGUGGCCUUUGUCUGCACCCAUCUUCAUUACAUGUUAAUACCACCAGAGACACUUUGAGGUCACUGGAAGGACUGAGCGCAUUCAGGAGCCUGGAGGAACUCAUCUUGGACAACAAUCAGCUGGGGGACGACCUCGUGUUGCCAGGGUUACCCAGACUGCAUACCUUAACCCUCAACAAGAACCGAAUCACUGAUUUGGAGUAUCUGCUGGAUCACUUGGCAGAAGUGACACCAGCUCUGGAGUACCUCAGUCUGCUGGGCAACGUGGCCUGUCCCAACGAGCUGGUCAGCUUGGAAAAGGAUGAGGAAGACUACAAGAGAUACAGAUGCUUUGUUCUGUACAAGCUGCCCAACUUGAAAUUUCUGGAUGCCCAGAAAGUAACCAGACAAGAACGAGAGGAGGCAUUGGUCAGAGGAGCCUUCAUGAAGGUGGUGAAGCCCAAGGCUUCCAGUGAGGACGUUGCCGGCUCCCCGGAGCGCCACUACACGCCCUUGCCUUCUGCUUCCAGGGAACUCACCAGUCACCAAGGUGUCCUGGGGAAGUGUCGCUACGUUUACUAUGGGAAAAACUCAGAAGGCAACAGGUUUAUCCGAGAUGACCAGCUCUGAAGCCAAGUUCUGUAUACCUUCACCCAUUUCACGAAAAUAAAAUCAAAAGGGAAGUCAAAAAUAAAGAAAAUGCUAAAGAAAAAACAAUA